GCUGACUAAGUGUUUAUCGCACAUUGACUUUUCACGUCAAAAGAACAUCUUAUAUGUAUUUAGCU
rnacentral:tRNA from 1 species